CCCAAUUAGAGUUUCUGGAUGUCAUGAAAGCAAGUUGUCCAUUUGGGAAGUCUACAGAAGAAGCUCCCUUUGUACAUUAAGCAAGUAAACCUCCUCUUUGUUCUGAGAUGUCAAGGAAGGGAGGACAUGUUAAAAGUAAGGUCCCCAAUAAGAGUUUCUGGAUGUCAUGAAAGCAAGUUGUCCAUUUGGGAAGUCUACAGAAGAAGCUCCCUUGGUACAUUAAGCAAGUAAACCUCCUCUUUGUUCUGAGAUGUCAAGGAAGGGAGGACAUGUUAAAAGUAAGGUCUCCAAUUAUAGUUUCUGAAUGUCAUGAAAGCGAGCGAUGAUUGAGGGCAGAAGAGUAAAACCUGACUACUCAUAUUUAUUAAGUGUGUUUCUUUUGCAUCAGAUUCACCUACAAAUGAGUGAAACUGAGAUAACAGACACACAUGCAGAUUCUGAGGUGGUGGUGUUCUUUUGGUAUUAGUGGUAAAGAACAAGUUAUUCAUAUACUUGACUAUUCUGAGAUUGUUGUACAUGGCUUGGGAGUUCAUUGAUGCCUCCCCAGAACUUAAUUUUACCCUCUCUGUACUAAUGAUUAUAUGACUUGAAUAUAAACAUGACAUAGUGUUGUCCCAUAAAUAUGAAUACAAGUUUAUACCUCUCCUCCUUC